GCCAACGUAGCUCAGGCGGCAGAGCAGCUGUUUCGUAAACAGCAGGUCGGCGGUUCGAGUCCGCCCGUUGGCUCCG
rnacentral:tRNA from 1 species